ACAUUCCUCUCCCCCUCGCACUGUUCCUUUUUAGCGCACCGCCGCAAUGGCGGCCUCUUGCUCCUCCACCCCCAAGCCGUGAACAUGGAUCUUCUUUCCUUAAUCCUAUGACCUCGAUGCGGCAGGCAAGUGUUUAGCCAAAUAUCCGCCGGUGGGAAAAGACCCGGCAAUCAGUACUACAAGUGUAUCCUUUGCAGUGUAAGAUCUUGAGUCCAAUCCUGGAUCUGGACUGCUACAAAUGAUGCGGGCUCAUUACGUUUUUUUUCGUUCUUGCAGUCUGGGCAAUGCUCCAUGAACUCAGGGUGGCCCUUUGUACGAAGCAGGUGCUUACCGAGUAGAAGAGGUGGAGAAGAAUGUGAUGUACAGAGCAACGCACACUCGAGCGGAGCGCAGGCUCGUUGACCUGUCCCGCAGCGGCCGAGACAGCCACAUCGUCGUCUUCGUGACCGGGACACCAGGUGAGAGAGGCCCAGAAAAUUAUUUGCAAGAUAUAUGUAUUAUUUGCUGCAUUGAUAAGAUCUUUUGGGUUCUGUUUUAAUGGAGUACUGAUCAGCUUGUGCUGGAAAACGGUGUACUGAAAUUGUUCACUGGAACGGUUUCAGUUAGGACUUGGCAAUUCUUUGAACUUUUGUGCUUGCAUUGUGGCUGUUGGAUUGGAUUAAUCUGUCUGUGUAGCCUGAUGCUUAGUUGGUUACAUAUUCCCAGUCUUGGAACUUGAAAACUCAAACCAGUCCAGUCAUAUAAAUUCAGCUUCACAUAGAAGAUAUCGAUUUCUAUAUUAUUUAGGCAAUUGUAAUUCAGAAAGAAAAUUCAUGUUGUAUCCCACAAACACUACAGAGAAAUUAGUUUCUGCAUGCACAUUACAUUGCUUUCAGGUUUUGUACAUCAACUAUCUUCAUGAUUGCAACACUAGAGGCACGACAUUGUGCCUGCUGGAUUUAUGGGCAGACGCUAGAAGGUUGUCUGAAGCUAGUUGGUGUUUGGUUUUUAAUUCAGACAAUUCAGUUUUUCAGUUUAAUACUAUAUGUUGCUAGUAGAAGACUUUGCAACUUCAGAAGCCCAAAUCACUUCAGCCUGCUCAUUUAAACUUCACAGAGAAGAUACCAAUUUCUACUAUUUAGCCUACUGUAAUUGUUUCGAUUAAUGUGUGGACAAAAUUCAGGCUGUAUCCCACAACACUAUAUGAAAGCUAGCUUUUUCUAUGUAUUACAUUGUUUUGCGUUUUUGGACUUCAGCUUUCUUCUUGAUAUUUUCAUUAACCUGUUGCAGUACCUGUGACAUGAUGUAUGUCUAACUGCUUCGAUGUUUUUGCUAAUUCAGCCCAUGCGGAGGUGCGGUACGCGAUGUCGAUGCAGUGUAGAGAAAGACCAGAGCAGGACUCCUGACUGUUGCUUCACGGUUCGCUUGUUGUUGCCUUGGCCAUGUGAAUCCCAAUUUUCUUGCAAUAAGAUAGGGGUUCUGGAAAACCCAGUAGUUCUUCUAUUUCUGCUAGCUAAACUUGCUCCAUUCUCCUGACAGUAGGAAAUCUAUUUUGGGCUGGUCUCGCUGUCUAAAAUUCAGAAACUGCUUGAACAAAGAUGCAGUUAAUGUGUUUGGGCUCCUAUUAUGUUGCCAACUGCGUUUACCUUAGAUUAAGCGUCGUACACAUAUGCGAUGAUUGUUUUGCAGUGAGUAGAGGAAUUGAGUUUAGCUGUGACACUUAAAGUUUCAGUCAUAUCCUAUAGCAGAGAAUGAAUUUGUGUUUCUGCAUAACUCUCAACAUGCUGCACUUUCCCACGCGCCAGGUGGCAUUUGGGAAACUGAUGUACGAAAUGCAGCUAUAAUGGUGAAAAAUUACCACCAAUUCUCAUGUUGAUUUACUGAAUUUUCAUGUGUUGUACAUAUAUCCAGUUCAAUAUAAUUGUUCUAUGUUUGUAAUUCUAAACGAGCCUUACUGUUUGCUCUUUGCUCCAGGAAAUUGCUAGUACUAAA
rnacentral:lncRNA from 1 species